CCAAGGAGGGGAGAGGGAAACAGUGACAGCAGCACCAGCGGUCCAAUCUAUUAUCCCCGUACUGCUUUCAGUGAAGCAUCCAAAUGAUCAAAUGCUCUCACUGCAUCAAUUAAAGGAGGAGGGGUCACUCACUCACACACAAGCACAUGGACUCUGUCGGCCGGUCGAUGAUUGCUCACUGCAUCUGUAUCUGUAGCUAGAUUCCCCCUUACCAACCAAUCCAUCAGUUGCUCCAUUUCCCCCCAGAGAUAGCAUUAGCACCAGUGCAAGAACAGACCUCCAUCGAUCCAAUUGUCCAGAUCUAGCACUAGCACCGCUGCAAGAACAAACAUCCAUCAAACCAUUUGUCCAGAGCUAGCAUUAGCAGCACUGCAAGAACACAUCCUGUAGCUGGAGUCCAUCCUGCAAGAACAGACCUCCAUCGAUCCACUUCUUCAGCUGACCAGAGCUAGCUUUAACACCGCUGCAAGAACACCCCUGUAGCUGGAUCCAAACCGCCAUCAAUCUCCCAUCAGCCAGUCCAGAAGGUCCUCCAUUUCUUCACUCCAGAUCAACACACUCACACCCUACUUGUUGAAUUGAAGUAGCCAUGGAUAUCACGGCAGGGGCGAUGACCCCCUUGCUCGAGAAGCUCGGCCGCCUACUCAUCGAGGAAUACAACCUGGAGAAACGUGUGAAGAAAGGGGUCAAAUCUCUACUUACAGAAUUGGAGAUGAUGCACGCCGUCCUCCGCAAGGUGAGCGAGGUGCCUCCGGACCAGCUCGACGACCAGGUCCGCAUCUGGGCCGGUAAGGUCAGGGAUCUCUCUUACAACAUGGAAGACGCCGUCGACACUUUCAUCGUGCGCGUGGAGGAUGACGAUGGCCAUGAGCGUGGCCCGAACAACUUGAAGAACAGAGUCAAGAAGCUCCUGAAGAAGACCACCAAGCUGUUUAGCAAGGGUAAGGCUCUUCAUCAGAUCUCUGAUGCCAUUGAUGAAGCACGGGAGCUUGCCGAUGAGUUGGGGGACCUGCGCCAAAAGUAUAUGCUUGAUGCACACGCCAACAGUAAGGGGGAUGCCAUAGAUCCUCGCUUGAAGGCUGUGCACAAAGAUGUCGCCGAACUCGUUGGCAUUGAGCACACGAGAGAGGAGCUGAUCACGAAGCUGCUGUCUGAUGGUGAUGAGCACUUUGGGCAGUCCAAGCAGCAGUUAAAGACUUUGUCUAUUGUUGGAUUUGGUGGGUUGGGCAAGACAACUCUUGCGAAAGCAGUGUAUGACAAGAUCAAAGGGCAAUUUGAUUGUGCAGCUUUUGUUUCUGUGUCUCGCAGUCCUGACAUGAUAAGGAUUUACAAGAAGGUGCUAUAUGAACUUGACCAGAGUAAGUAUGCCAGCAUCAAUGAAGCUGCUAGGGAUGAACAACAACUCAUCAAUGAGUUGAAAAUGUUUCUUCAGAAUAAGAGGUACCUCGUAGUAAUUGAUGACAUAUGGGACGAAGAAGCAUGGGGAUUUAUCAAGUGUGUUUUCUCCAACAACAAUCUCGGUAGCAGAGUAAUGACUACAACCCGCAUAGGCAGUGUCUCUAAAGCAUGCUGCUCUUCCAGUGAUGACAUAAUUUAUCCAAUGAAACCUCUUACCGAAGAUGACUCCAAGAAGCUCUUCUAUAAAAGAAUAUUUCCUCAAGGGGGUGGUUGCCCUCAUGAAUUCGAACAAGUAUCCAGAAACAUCUUGAAGAAAUGUGGCGGAGUACCACUAGCCAUCAUUACCGUAGCUAGUCUUUUAGCUAGUAGUGAUCAACAGAUAAAGCCAAAGUAUCAAUGGGAAACCUUGCUCAAUUCUAUUGGCCGUGGACUUGCAGAAGGUGGUAGUGUGAAGGACAUGCAGAGAAUACUAUCCUUUAGCUAUUAUGAUCUACCUUCUCAUUUGAAGACUUGUUUAUUAUAUCUCAGUAUAUUUCCGGAAGAUUUUGAGAUUAUGAAAGACCGGUUGAUAUGGAGGUGGAUAGCUGAAGGCUUUGUCCAAGGUGGAAAACAAGAAACUAGACUAUAUGAGCUCGGCGAAAGUUAUUUCAAUGAGCUCGCAAAUAGAAAUUUGAUUCAGCCAGUUUAUGAUUAUUAUGGACACGAGGUGGUAGCUUGCCGUGUGCAUGACAUGGUACUUGAUCUCAUAUGUUCCAUGUCCAGCGAAGAGAACUUUGUCACUAUACUAGAUGGUACCCAACAAAGCAAACAUAAUUUACACAGCAAAGUUCGCCGGUUAUCCUUUCAGAAUAGCAUGUCAGAGCUCACCACACAUUGGGUUGAUGUCACGAGUAUGUCGCAGCUGAGGUCUGUUACUCUCUUUAGAACUGAUGUUGAUUUGAUGCAGACUGCUCUUUCUUGCUUUCAAGUUCUGCGUGUAUUGGAUUUAGAAGGUUGCAAUUUUGGGAAAUGUGGCCACAAGAUUGAUCUUAAGCCAAUUGAGAAUUUAUUGCACCUGAGGUACCUAGGGCUACGAGAUACAAGUGUUGGCGUUCUCCCUGUAGAUAUCGGAAAGUUAAAGUUUCUGGAGACUUUGGACUUAAGAAAUCGAUCAAAGGAGCCAUUAGUGGUGCCAUCAAGUGUUGUUCAGCUAAAACAUUUGAUGUGCCUACACCUUGAUGAUCGGAAGAAUACACAAAUACCGACUGGGAUGGGGAACCUGGCGUCCUUAGAAGAGCUGACUGGACUGUGGAUUAAUGGUUCUUCGGCUAUUGAGAAAGAGCUAGGCCAGUUGCAGGAGCUGAGGGUGCUUGAGAUUUAUUUGGAUGGAGAUGAUGAGAGCGUGUGUAGUUCUUUGGUGGUGUCCCUGGGCAAUCUACAGAAAUUGCAAAGUCUAACAAUUGAUAAUUUAGGCAAUAAUGCAAGGUUUGAUGUCUGCUGCAACAGCUUGGUGCCCCCUCCUUACCUCCGUAGCAUUGUGUUUUAUGAAUGUACCUCGACAUUGCCAACUUGGAUUAAUUCAGCAUCGGUUCCGCUCCUCUCCUCCCUGCACUUAUGUGUGGAUAGAGUGUGUCUGGAGGUUGAUAUUCAGAUCCUUGGGAAGCUGCCCGCUCUCUGUUAUCUCAUCCUGUCCUCCACCAAAGCUCAGUGCACUCGUGUAGAAAGGUUCAUCGUUGGCGCUGAUGCAUUCCCAUGUUUGAGGGUGUGCGGUUUCGGUUGUUUUCAGACGGGGCCAUCUAUGUUUCCACGAGGAGCUAUGCCAAGGCUUGAAUACCUCUGGUUCUUUGCCCGAGCAUCGCACAUCGCUAGUGGAGAACUGGACGUCAGCAUGGAGCACCUCCCUUCCCUCCAGAGAGUCGAGGUUGUCCUUUGGCCUGAGAAAGCAGCUGGCGGCACUUCAGACGAGUUUGAGGAAGCAGAAGCUGCGGUGAGGCUUGCAGCAGACGCCCAUCCCAACCGCCCCACCCUUCAGAUUCGUCCUCAUGAUCCCUUCGAAUCGGAAGAAGAUGAAGAAGAGGAGCAUGUGGAUGCAGGAGUUGUCACUGGCCCGGGACAGACUGAGAAAGCGAGCUAGCUCGUCCAAUUCGAAUCUGCAGGUGAUUAAGCAGCAGCUGGCAGUGCGUAUUAGUUUUUUUAAUCUACGUGAGAUAGCUUCGGCUUAAUUACCAGGAGUUGGAAUUGUUGUUCAUACCAUUGGCUCCAUCGAUCUCACCUGUUGCACUUCCAAGAAACAACCAAGUCACAUUGAUUUGAUCGAUACGCAGUAAAGCACUUUGCCCUGAUUCUGUAUCGAUUUGCUUGGAAACUUCGUUCCUGGCGCCAAUUCGGAAAAACCUUGCACUUGUAACUGUAUUAUGUAUUUAUUGUCUUCCUUUGGAUUCAUUUCCUUCUGUUAGCAAGCUAGAUUAGUUAUGCUGGACCUGGAAGGAUGCAUCUUGCAUAUGUAUGGAAGCUUCAUGUUGGCUAGGCACUUUAAUCUGUUUCUAUUCUCUGACUGUUAUGAUGGAUUCGUUGUUCAUCGUUUGCUAAAACCAACAAUUGAGUACCUUUUGCGAAGGGCCAUAUUCUGUUCACUUAA